GUUGUACGUUACAUAGCCCACAAUACAGUAUUAAAACUGUAGGCCUGAUGUAUUAUAGUCUACAAUACAGUAUUAAAACUGUAGACCUGAUGUAUUAUAGUCUACAAUACAGUAUUACAACUGUAGACCUGAUGUAUUAUAGUCUACAAUACAGUAUUACAACUGUAGGUCUGCUGUAUUAUAGUCUACAAUACAGUAUUACAACUGUAGACCUGAUGCAUUAUAGUCUACAAUACAGUAUUACAAGUGUCAAUGUCUAUUUUCCAUGUCCCAAGUUGGUGCCAGCCACAGUUAAGGUCAAUGACACUGGUAGGGAAACAACAGACUAAGGGCUCUAUUCAGUCUAGAUCACCAAAGUGUUUACAGACCAGGAAGUGUUACAGAUCAGGAAGUGUUUACAGAUCAGGAAGUGUUUACAGACCAGGAAGUGUUACAGACCAGGAAGUGUUUACAGACCAGGAAGUGUUACAGACCAGGAAGUGUUACAGAUCAGGAAGUGUUUACAGACCAGGAAGUGUUUACAGACCAGGAAGUUGUUACAGAUCAGGAAGUGUUACAGAUCAGGAAGUGUUACAGAUCAGAACGUGUUUACAGAUCAGGAAGUGUUUACAGACCAGGAAGUGUUUACAGACCAGGAAGUGUUUACAGACCAGGAAGUGUUACAGAUCACGAAGUGUUACAGAUCAGGAAGCAAUAUACAUUUUAAAGUAAUUUCCGACUGAGACAACAUAGCCUAUGCUGCGUUUGCCGUGAAUGCAGUCUCCGCCAACGUGGGAACAUUGCCUUUAAACUUCCGGAUUGAACCCUUACCCUAAAAACACGUACAAACAUAACUGAACCCCUCUAUUUUUGCAACCAUUCUGCUGUCCAAAGAAGAAAACCUAUCUCUGGGUUUUACAAAGAGCAGAAAAGUAAAUAAUAAAAUAUUACGAAGCAGAGAGUUGCCAGGUAUGACGUCUCUGGAUCAUUUGAGAUUAUUCUGGAAACAUCUGGGCCUGCAUCGUACUCUUAACAGACCGGGGAGAACGAUGGCUUUGUGGAUUAAACACCAUGUGGA
ensembl:lncRNA